rnacentral:rRNA from 1 species
UACAGAGGGUGCAAGCGUUACUCGGAAUUACUGGGCGUAAAGCGUGCGUAGACGGUUAUGUAAGUCAGGUGUGAAAGCCCAGGGCUCAACCUUGGAAUUGCAUUUGAGACUGCAUAGCUAGGGUGCGGAAGAGGGAAGCGGAAUUUCCGGUGUAGCGGUGAAAUGCGUAGAUAUCGGAAGGAACACCAGUGGCGAAAGCGGCUUCCUGGUCCAGCACCGACGUUCAGGCACGAAAGCGUGGGGAGCAAACAGG